CAUGACACUGAGGAAGUUAAAAGGUCAAAGGAAUGUGAGUGAGUGUGCCUGCCUGCCUGCAUGUGUAUUUUGGGGGACAAGGGCAGAGUAUAUUCUUCACAUGUGUACAUAGUGAGAACAUAUUGUGCAUUAACGGUAAUCUAGCAAUGAUAUUGUCAUCAUUAGACAGAGUAGAUGAGACACUAAAGGUGUCUCUGUUGUGUUGAAGUCAUAUCCAGCAGGAGCCACCAAGGUCACCUGUACCCAGCUGUGUGUCGAACUGUGUGCCCAUGAAGAGUGACCAGUCAGUGGGUCAGCAUUGAGAGGAGGACAUUCCUACUGAUCAAAGUUGGUUGAAGAAAAUGUCCUCCCUUUUGUGAAAAAUGAGUUGUGGAGGUUCAAGAGGAUUCUGAGUCAGAAGCAGAAUGAGAAAGUGGUGGACACUGCAGAUGAGAAGCAGGUGAUCAGUGCCAUAAAAGGGAUCUGAAGAUCCCACUGCACAUCUUGGGCAGCUUGAACCAGAAAGAGCUUGCUGUCAUACUGGAGAAAAGCUAAAUGGAUGUAACCUCACUGAGAGAUGCUGUCAGUCGUUGGCCUCAGUUCUCAGCUCAAACUCCUCCCACCUGAGAGAGCUGGAUCUGAGCUACAAUCACCCAGGAGACUCAGGAAAGAAAAUGCUCUCUGCUGUACUGUAUGAUCCACAAACUAAUCGCAGACACUCAGAUGCCUGUGAGCUCACACCAGACCUCAACACCAUACAUCCAGCGCUCUAACUGACAGAAGGAAACAGAAAGGUGGUGUACGUAACAGACCGACUAUCCUGAGCACCCAGAGAGGUUUAACCAGUGGACUCAGAUGCUGUGUAGAGAGCCUCUUUCUGGGCUCUGCUACUGGGAGGCAGAGUGGGAGGGUUAUGGGGCUUAUGUAGGGUUGGCAUAUAAGGGACUCCCUAGAGAGGAGGGACUAAUGACUGUGUGAUUGGCUACAAAGAGUUGUCCUGGAGUCUGCAGUGCACUUAUGAGGCUUAUGGUGCUUAUCAUAAUGUAAAAAACGUAUCCAAACCUGCCACAUCCUCCCGAUCCCGCAGAGUAGGAUUGUAUCUGGACUGGCCGGCUGGCAUUUUGUCCUUCUACGUUGUCUCCUCUGACACCCUGACCCACCUGCACACCUUCCUCACCACCUUCACUGAGCCUAUCUAUGCUGUGGCCCUGGCCUGACUCAGCUAUCACCCUGUGUGGUUGUGAAUUCUUAAGUGGAGUAACCUCCCUUUCCUACUUUCCUGACGGCACACCGGUGUGACAUUAUGGAACAUUUCUCACUGUCAAUUGUAUAAAUGACUUCCUGGGGUCACGGGAGACAUAUUGUGGAACAUGGAUGGACACCGCCCAUCUUUAGGCCUCUAAAUGAGUGUAAAUUGUCUUGGGAAAUGCUGCAGAAAGAAUGUCAAUUUGUUGUAUUUUGUGUAAUUUUAUUGUGGUUUGUAUGCUGUGAUUUGUACUGUAUGUUUAGUGUUGGCCCAUCUGAUUGUAUUUCCAGUAGUUCAGGUCUAAUAAAGCUAACUGUGAAUUGA